rnacentral:lncRNA from 1 species
GGAACUAUUCAACCUUAGAUGCUGACCCUCAUGUGCUGUUAUUUUGAAAAUUACAAAUUAUCGUGGAGAUAAUCAACCAAAUGGAGAAAUCAGAAUCCGGGAGAAACCCUCCCUGAGAGAUCUCUAGCCCCCACCGACAUGUUGUCUAGAUUAAAAACAUUUGCCACUGGGACUCAAAUAUAGCUCUUCCCGUGUAGGGCUUUGCAAGAACAAAGUAACCCAUAUCACUGUGGGAGUCAUCGGGUGCUUGCUAAGCAUGCUUGGUCUCGCUGCUACGGCUGCUCUGGUGGGUCGCUUCAGAACCCAGAGGAAGUCAGGGGCAAUCCCAAGGAACAUCGGGAGCGUUCCUGGCCCAGACCCUCCAGCACAGGCCCUCCACAGCCCACGCGGUCUGAGCCGGCCAGCCCUGAUGGAGCUACAGCCCUUGUACAGCAACGUCAGUCCUGGCGAUGACGACCUGGUUUAUUCCCAGAUCUGGAUCAGACAGCACAGAGAAGGAAGUCCAGCACAUUCACCAAGGACGCAUCAGAAGGGUGAGGAACCUGCAAUCGUCUAUUCAGAGGUGAAGAGGGCAGACCCCUACGACCCUGCACGGCAGGACUGUGAGGAGGCCGCAGAAGGCUAUGAGAACGUCCCGUGCACGUCGCUGGCCUCGGACCACUAGCCCCAUACCCAGGGAGGCUCCCAGAUGCCUUCUCCCCAUUCUCUGCAACCACUCACCUUCCGUCUGGGAGGCUGGGUGAAAGAUCCGUCCCACUGCUCCGUGACUGAGUCUGGGUGUUCUGUGGGAACAGAAGGGGCAGCAUUUCAGUAAAUGCUGCAUGUUUUCACAGUAGAGACACAUGUGAAGGCAGGGCAGUUGGGCCUUCACCUCCUGGGCCCGAGGAGCAGAGGAGGAAGGAGGGAUCGUCUAGCCGGGAUCACGAGGGCACAAUCAAUGGCCACGUGUUCCAAGCAUGAUCAAAAGCCUUCAAUGCACCAUCUCUGAAUAAACAGUUUGCUCCAAACACCUUGCUUCCUUUUUUAGGUAGACAGAUGGUAAGUGAUGAUGCUGAUGCUGAUAUUAAUGAAUAAGAUUCGGGGGCACCUGGGUGACUGAGUCGGUUGAGGGUCCGCUUUCGGCUCAGGUCAUGAUCUCUCAGUCCGUGAGUUCGAGCCCCGCGUUGGGCUCUGUGCCGGCAGCUCAGAGCCCGGAGCCUGCUUCGGAUUCUGUGUCUCCCUCUCUCUCUGCCCCUCCCCUGCUCAUGCUCUGUCUCUCUCUGUCUCAAAAAUAAACGUUAAAAAAAAUUUUUUUUAAUGAAUAAGAUUCGGGGAUGCCUGGGUGGCUCAGUCGGUUGAGCGUCCGACUUCAGCUCAGGUCAUGAUCUCACAGUCCGUGAGUUCAAGCCCCACGUCGGGCUUUGUGCUGACAGCUCAGACCCUGGAGCCUGCUUUGGCUUCUGUGUCUCCCUCUCUCUCCCUGCCCCUCCCCUGUGCACGCUCUGUCUCUGUCUCAAGAAUAAAUAAACAUUAAAAAAAUUAAAAAAAAAGAUAGAUGCAGGUAUGGGACACACACCGCAACCCACACAGAGUCUGUGGUCUUCAAGACCCUUCCUCUCUCACAACAUCAAACUUCCCCCGUACCCAUAACAGCUGAAUUCCACCGUCUAAUUGUUCAACAUCCACUACUUGGAGGCUCCGGAGGCCUGACCACCAACCCCGGAAGCCCAGUGGAGCUGGCGACUCUCACGACUCAGCAGGCGAAGCCUAGUGCCGCCCCGGAGCCCGCAUGGCCUGAGCCGGCAGAGGAGGGAGGGGGCACGGCAGUCCUGGGCCCACGGGAGACACCCUCCCUCUGCCCACCGGCUCCCGCUUGAUUCUUCCAGGGCCUAGCAAGCACUGAAUGUCUACAACUGAAGAAACAUUGGACACGUGUGGGGGAUAAGUUGAAGAAUUCUCUGAGCUUGCACCGAUGGGUUAACAAGGCUUGGGGCGGAAAGCCGCUUCCACAGGACGAAAGCGUCCGCGAACAGGUAGAGGCGGAAGGCCGCCACCGCAGGGCGAAAGCGCCCCACGUUAGCCAGCGAGAAAGAUGGCUCGUUAAGCCUGAGGCGGCAUGCCUCACUUAUCUUAGUCCCUAGAAAAGUUAAGAUAAACAGAAACGGUGCCUGCAGUAAAGGGCCGCCUGCUGGGCUCCCAGAUGUCCAUCUGUCUUGACCCUAAGCCCUAACACCGCAUACCUUCGAAACCCCUUCUCUCUCACACACGUGAGUUAACAAUUACUGUUUUAUCGUUUCUUUCUGCACAUCCAUCACGUACGUCAGCCUUCUGACCCUAAUAAAUACGGAGCGAGGACCCUUACUCGGGGUUCUUCUCUCCGCCCGGACAUCAGCCUCUCUCGUUAUCAUUUCUGCGUCCGCUCUCUUGCUGGACGAGAGAGAACUCCAGACUCAAAGUCUGCAACAAAAAAAGCAUGCCAUGGGUGCUUAAGUCUCUGGAGAAGGGGCAGAGUCGCUUGGAGUCACUUGUGUUCGUAAGGGAUAGCUGGAGUUGUUGGCCUGUAUCACCUGGGGUGACGCUGAACUGUUCGCAGCCACGAAAACAAGAGGCCUUAGCAAGCUAGCACACUCACUGACGACGGAUGUGUAUGAACUGAUACAACUUAUGGGCAGCGUGGAUUUUACACCCCCCCCCUUGUUUAUGACGUUAAGUAAACAGCACAGUGACGUUUUGCAAACCUUUGAAAUAACUCAAGAGUAAAAAGUAAUAAGUGUAUUUCAGAUGUUAUUCUUUUCCCCCGCGGGCGUCAGAAGCUUAGGCAACAGGAAGUGUAACAGACAGCAAAAUGCAGUCCAGUCUGAGGUUUCAAUCUUAGCCUUAAGAAAUCAGCUGGCGAGCUAAUUUGCUGAGGGACAAAAGUGAUGUCCUUCGUAAAGAAGAAAUACAUAUUUAAAAAAAUUUUUUAAUGUUUAUUUUUGAGAAAAAGACACAGUGUGCAAGCAGGGGAGGGACAGAGAGAGAGGGAGACACAGAAUCCAAAGCAGGCUCUAGGCUCCAAGCUGUCAGCACAGAGCCCGACGUGGGCCUGAACUCAUGAACCACGAGAUCAUGACCUGAGCCAAAAUCAGACGCUUAACCGACUGAGCCACCCAGACGCCCCUCUUUUUUUUUUUAAUUUUCUUUUUUAAGUUUUUUCUUAAGUAAGCUCUACACCCAACAUGGGGCUUGAACUCAUGACCCUGAGAUCGAGUCACAUGGCUCCACUGAGUGAGCCACCCAGGUGCCAGGAAAUACAUAUUUUUAUUAUGAAAGAGGAACUUGAUGUCUUACUUCCAUAUCAUCAGAUACAAAAUGCUAUCUAGAACGUAUGCCUGGCCUUUAAAGAGAGCAAGAAAUCCAGGUGAAAUCUGUGUCUACGCUUCGAUCUUGCUCUGAAUGCCCCCCAACUUGGGGCUGCGGGAAGAAUAAAGCCAUAUAAGGAAGGCAGGACAUGCCAUGAGGUGCCAGCUGUGGGAAACCCAUCUAAAAGAGUGGUGACAAAAGGGAGCAUCAAGGCAGCAUCCCGGGCCCAGUAAGAGUCACUCUGCAGGAGGGCAUGUCCACAGUAUGAGUACCCACCAUGAUGACAGCCACUCGAGCAGACAGGAUCAGCGAUGCCAGCGAGACAUGAGGACGGCAGGGGGACAGAACAGUUCUGAGGGGAUGCGGACCUUCCUUGCAGAACCCCUUGUCCAGGUCCUCAAACUGAGGACCAACAGUACCUGCGAGCAGCCAGGGAGACUCUGAGGAAUGUUUAGGAGAACAUCCAAGAGGAAAUCAUGCGUCCAAGCAGUCACGAAGGUAACGUGGGAGAUAUCAAGAUUUAAGACAUUAUUUUCGUUCUUUGCAUUAUAUUGAUUUUAUUUAUUUACAAAUGUCUUGAAGAGUAAUUUAUACACAAUAAAUCACACAUACCUAAAGUAUACAAUUCGAUGUUUUGACAGUUGUAUACAUCCACAAAACCACCACCACAAUCAAGAUCCCAAACAUCUCCCUCACUACCCAGGGC